CGGAAUUACUGGGCGUAAAGGGCUCGUAGGCGGCCAACUAAGUCAGACGUGAAAUCCCCAGGCUUAACCUGGGAACUGCGUCUGAUACUGGAUGGCUUGAAUUCGGGAGAGGGAUGCAGAAUUCCAGGUGUAGCGGUGAAAUGCGUAGAUAUCUGGAGGAAUACCGGUGGCGAAGGCGGCAUCCUGGACCGACAUUGACGCUGAGGAGCGAAAGCUAGGGUAGCAAACGGG
rnacentral:rRNA from 1 species